CGGGAAAUUUCCAACUAUUUGGAAUAAUUCAGAUCCAACAGAAGCCGAGCAUGUUGGUAAUGCCUCUUCUUACCCAGUAAAGACCUUUAGCGAUCUCAUAACUGACGAGGCUUUAGAUUUGUAUGUACGAGCUCAUAACUCAAAGGAAACCUCCACCCACUUAGAGAAAGGCAAGAAGCUCAGUAAAAGACUCCUAGCCCAAGUCCGGUCAAGUAAUCUCCCUUCUACUCCUGCUUCCAAAAAAUUACGAAGGGUAGGAGAAGGGAAUCAUGGUACAUCCGCAAGCCCUGGAGUGUUAUCAGGUCCUACUCUUGUACCUCUAGGUUUCAGCGGAUUUGGUGGGGUUCCUACUAGUUUCGAAAGUUUUUGUUUAGUAUCAACCAACCAAGCCUUUU